AAGAAAAAAAAAUGGAGGAAAUAUAUAUUAAAAAAAAAAAAUCGUGUGUCCUCAAAAUCUAUAAAAUGCUACGGCACUUAAUUUAGGAAUGGGAAUUGAUUAACUUUGCAAGAGCUAGGAAUAUCAUUAGAGACAUCGACAUUUAGCAAAGAGAAGGAAAAAGCCGGAGAAAACAGUAAAUUAUCAGUCCAAGAGAGUAAGAUCAAGAGUGUUAAUCCGAAGGUGAAAUAAGGAAUCCGAAGGAGAAACCCUAAACUCACUAUCUUGACUGACUCAGGUAUUUGAUGGGCAUUAGGAACCGUAAGUGUGAUUGAAACGUGGACACAUCUUACUUAUGAAGACAGAUGUAAACUCUCCAAGCAAGAGCUAUUGGAUUGCUGUGAAAAGAAUCCAAGGGGUUAUAAGAACAAAUGUGGAUGAAAAGUGGUUUUACACGAACCCAACUUCGGUAUCGUUUAAGUGGGUUGAAAUGAAUAAAGUUCAACUAGAAAGAGAGUAUAGACAGAAGGCAGGUGACAGUGAACGAAGAAAAAGAUAAUAAGUUGAAGAAAGGAAUGAGGUCAGAGUAGAUCCCCACAUGGUUGUUCUUGCAAAUGAACCGAAGUUACUGGAAACUCUUGUUAAUGGCCCAGUUGUUGGGGGUAUCGAAUCUCUUAAGGUAUGACACUAACGAGAACGGUGUAAAUUUCUACUGGUGCCAAAGCACUUGGGGAGAAAAUUGGGGGUUAAAGGAUAUGGAACAGGUUAAAGGAUAUGGAAGAAUUAGGCGAGCGUCUAGUUAUAGUUGGGAGACUACACCAGUUUCUAAUAUUAUGAAAUGGACACAAAUCCCAGCCAAGGUUCAUAGAAUUUCCAAAGGAGAUACCUAUGAUAUUGACAAAGGAUUCGAUACCAUUUAUUAUCCAUAAACAGAAUUCGGAUCUCAUACGUUAUUACCUGAUCAAAGCAUUUGAAGACUACAACUAUAAAGAAGGGUUGCAUUUGACUCUACAAUUUGUUGACGCUGUUUAUCGUCAAAAAAGCAAUUGUGGACGAAAUAUGGUUCGUGUUCUAUGUCGUCGACUCAAAUGGUAGGAAAAGGAAGUAUAAAGUGCAGGUCCUCUCGACUACAAUAGAUGCAAUCGACAUGUUUAGAGCAUUCAAAGUGUAAACAUAUACUAAGAACAAGCAAGAGUUACUAGAUUGUUGCGAAAAGAAUCCAAGGGUUAUAAGAACAAAUGUGGAUGAAAAGUGGUUUUAUA